CCGAGGGAAGGUGCCUUUACAGGGGCCAACGACCGGAUCUGCAGCGCACGGAUCUGCAGAAACAGACGCACACGACUUCAUGUAUUCAGUCCCUGAAUCUAGACUUUGAAGAACCAGCUUUCACUGAAAUCCCAGCUGGCCUUUGGAAUAAACCCCGACCAGAGAACACACUUCAGGCGUAUAAUACGCAGAGUGUGUUAAAACAGCAGUGGUGCAGGCGGCCUUUUGGCCGGUCUUGGUCUAAUUCAGGGAUCAGAUGGCAUCAGAGACAGGGGAGCUUUGUUCUGGCACUAAGAAGGGAUGCAGGCUAAGAGCUGCUUUCCCAGGGAAUGCUGAGUGGUUUGUUGGCUCUGCAGCCGCCUGUAGGCUCCAUCUGCUCUCAUGUCCACACACACGCUGCUCUACAAAAAAAUAAAGCACUAAAGGGUCCAUGCUACUGUGUAGCAAACAAAUAACCAGAGUAAACUCAUCACACGGAUGUCCUUUAACUCGAUUAUAAAC